rnacentral:lncRNA from 10 species
GCCCUGGUUCAGACGCCUCUGACAGAUGCUCCAAGAUGAUGUGAAGCAGAUACAAGUGCCCUUCUUGUCUCAUGGACUCAAUCAGGAGAUAUGAAGAUUGACAACUGAUUGGCAAAAGUGAAGUCACUGUGUGACCUGUCCUGAAAAGAUGGUGGCUGCAUCUAGAAACAGUGACGUGUUUGGGGAACAAUGGAGUAGAGUCAGAGACGCACCUACUAAGACAUUUUGGCUGCUGGGCACCUGAACAUGAGCAAUGUGAAGCUUCCGGUGCGUGUUUCCAUAGAGAGUUUUCUGAUAAUGUGUCAGUUAUUUUUAGCCACAAAACACUAUAAGACAACUGAGCAUGCUUUUCAGUGGCUAACAACUAUAAGCAUUAAUUUUGCUCAUGCACUAAGGGAUGACUGAGCCCUUCUGCUGGCCUGGGCCACGCCUAACUGAUUGCAGCUGGGCUAGCUCUUGCAUCAGCUGGUGGAUUGGCCUGGGGCAGGCUGGCCUGGGGUAGCUUUGGUUGGGAUGAUUUUUUUCUGCUCUGUGGUCUUUCAUCUUGUGAUAGGCUAGUCUCGGCUUUUCCUACAGUGGAGGCAGGGGUCUGAGGGAAGAAGUGGAAACACUUGAGGCCUGGGAGGCCUACUCUGAUAAUAAGCCAAGUCACCUCUGCUGCAUUCUAUUGGUUAGAGCAAGCCACAGCUCAGCCCAGACACAAGAGUUGGGCAACACCCUCUACUUCUUGAUGAGAGGAGCUAACAUGUAACUUUGCAAAUGGAAUAAAUAUAGAAAAAGGUGAAAAUUCAGGGCCAUUUUUGCAAUCAGUCCAUUACAGAUGGUUUAUUA